CUCAACGAAUCGUGGAGCACAGUUAACUGUUAGUCCGUGACUGACUUUCCGUCGAAAUUGAUGUGCUUCGUGAAUUCACAAGACUGGCCGGUGAUUCAGUUGGUUGUAUCGUAUCUCACUGAUUUUAGGAAAAUGUACACAAUAAAUCAGCUACACCAUAUUUCAUCUUGUCUGAUGUACACGUUUACGACAUACAGGGGGUUUUUGAUUACGAUACCUCUGCUUAAAUCCCCACUUGGUAACUUCGAUCCAGGACAACUUAAGUUCUUGACUGUAUGGAACCUGAUCAUUCAAGCGAUAUUUUUCUUCAUAUGUAUUCUGAAUGAUUGGUUCGGCACAAAUGCAGUUAGUCCUAAAAAGCCACCAUUCAUACGUAAAUUAAAGGAUCAUGUACAUGCGAUACUCGGUUUUCCGAUCGCCAUGUUCGUUGGAAUAAUAUUCUGGACUUUAAUGUUUGUGGAUCGCGAAUUGGUGCUUCCAAAGGCACUGGAUCCUUACUUUCCAUGGUGGCUCAAUCAUUUGAUGCACACAAUGAUCAUGGUUUCCACGCUAAUAGAAAUGAUAAUAGCCCCGAGAAAAUAUCCAAGGAAAUCAUUUGGCCUUUUAUGUUUAUUAUCCUUCAUGUUUAUAUAUUUAAUUUGGGUGCAUAUAAUUUUCUAUAAGAGCGGUAUCUGGGUGUACCCAAUACUAGAUGUGUUGCCGCUGCCGUUACGAAUUGUAUUCUUCAUUGUAAUGCUUUUAAUCGCCGUAUUCUUGUAUUUGAUCGGCGAAGCAGUGGACAACUUCCUUUGGGGUAACGAAUAUACUAAAAAUAAAAAAUCUUAUGCCAAGAGCAAAUAGCCUCGCCCAUGGUGAUUAGCCGCGCUGACUUUGGUCAUACAUUAGCCUCCUCUAAGGUGGUGGUAAAUAAAAAUUAAAAACCAAUUUUCUAUCUCCUCCACCUAUCCUCUUCCUCCUCCUAUCAUCCCCCAGCUCCAUUCAUCCUACAUUACGGCAUGCACGCGUAUCCAAUGGAUAAAUUUUCUUUCGGAAACUCUUAAACAAAAACAUAGUAAUAUGUGCAUGCAAGGACGGAACGCGUUAAUUUUUACCCAAAAGCAGAAAGCACAAGGAGAACGCGGUCGUUAACAACUUGUUCACUUGAAGAGGGUUGCGUAGCUGGAGCAUGUAGAUGUGACUUUUUUCUCUCGUGUGGUUUGUGUCAUAUGCAACAAAGAAAAGGGAAGACUAAUUGUAAUAACUAAGUACACUGCACACACUCUGAUGCCUGAUAUUCAUGGUGAUGUAAAUUAAAAAAUGCAAACAAAUGGAAAGUAAAAAAAAAAGAAAAACACGGACAACACACAUACGUACACACGAUGCAACAGCUAGUACAUUUUUAUACGUUCGAUAUUUGUUACUCUGACAACAAAGAAAUGAAAUAAAAUUUAGAAAGAAAGGAAGAAAAUGCGUCAUAGAGAAAUGGUGAACUGUGAACACGUGUGUGGAAUGAAUGCAUUGUUCCGCGUUUUGAAGGAAAAAAGUACGUAGCAGAAUGUAUCGGACCGGAUUUGAAAGCAUAAUGAAGUGAGGCGAAUCGAGCAAGAGGAAUAUGCUUUUGCUGGACUGAUCGAGCAAAGAAAUCAUUAGCACGUGUACUCGUGUUCACCAAGAUUUGAUGCCAUCGAUGAUUCUCGUGUCGAAAACGUAUCGAGUGAAGAUGAGAAAUGCCGUUUUUGCAUUUAUAACAGAUUAGACUAACUUUAGAGAUCUAGUUUAGCAUUUCGUCAUUUAUAUAGUGUACAAAGAAAUAUGACAUAGUCGAUCAGAAGUACAGAGUUUGUUAACGGAUUUUAGUUAUACCUUUAAGUAAUAAGAACGUUAAAAAAGAAAAGAAAAAAAAAAUGUAUAAUUUUGAAAGAUCUUCAUGAGUUUUCAAUAUUUAUUACUACAAUAAAAUCAAAACAUCACGUUAGCGUGAUUGGCUUUAUCUGUAAGUAAAUUGAACUCGCAUACUGGGAAGCUGUUAAACUAUAUACGGAAAAUAUCAAUUAUCGAUAACGGGUUGACCUUAUCUAUAGUUACGUUCCAUAAAUAUAUUAGUAAAUUUCAGAAUACAUUUUCACAAAGAUACAAUGUGUUGUGCAAAUAUUCAACUGAGACAUUUUUGUUUAUAGAACUAGAUAUUUUCCAUUUAUUUUAUAAAAAAUUUUGAUAAUAAUUAGUUAUUGUAACAAUUUAUACAAAAUGGAGGCAAAAAUUAUUGAAUAAAUAAUGUAUUGCUAAAUA